CACGUAGGGUGCGAGCGUUGUUCGGAAUUAUUGGGCGUAAAGAGCUCGUAGGCGGUGUGUCGCGUCGGCCGUGAAAACCUGCAGCUUAACUGUGGGCGUGCGGUCGAUACGGGCAUCACUGGAGUUCGGCAGGGGAGACUGGAAUUCCUGGUGUAGCGGUGAAAUGCGCAGAUAUCAGGAGGAACACCGGUGGCGAAGGCGGGUCUCUGGGCCGAUACUGACGCUGAGGAGCGAAAGCGUGGGGAGCGAACAGG
rnacentral:rRNA from 1 species